rnacentral:rRNA from 1 species
UACGUAGGUGGCAAGCGUUGUCCGGAUUUACUGGGCGUAAAGAGCGCGCAGGCGGCUGGGCAAGUCCGAUGUGAAAGCUUCCGGCUUAACUGGAAAAUUGCAUCGGAAACUGCUCGGCUUGAAGGUGGGAGAGGGUAGCGGAAUUCCCGGUGUAGUGGUGAAAUGCAUAGAUAUGACCCGGAACACCGAUUGCGAAGGCAGCCCACUAAGCAAUGAUUGACGCUGAGGCACGAAAGCGUGGGGAUCAAACAGG